rnacentral:sRNA from 1 species
AAAAAGCCCGCUUUGCGUCGGCAUAAGCGGGCUUCAUGUGCGGGGGAAAGCUGGAGCGGCGGCGGACGGUUGCUGCUUUUCUCCACCGUUCGCUUUAGCUGUUUUGGGUUGCCCCGCGUCCGCAAGCUGAGAUCAAAUCGACGCAAGCCGUCAUCCUAACAUGCGUGGCGCGCUGCGUGA